rnacentral:misc_RNA from 1 species
AAAAUAAAAAAUAAAAAAUAAAAACCCAACUUUGAAGCUAUUUCAGAAACAAGACAACAUUUUCCUACAUGUAUGUCUGGCAAAACCAGUCAUAACCAAUGUCCAGUGCAAGUUAUUUUGGGAUUUAGCAUAGACGGGGAAGGUGAUAAAUAAAGGCUUCAGAACAAAGCAGCGGGGAAGAUCAGUUCACCACCAACAUUACAUUACCUGAAGAGCACAUUUGUUUCACCUGUCUACUUUAUAAGAAGUAGAAGCUGUCGGGCAAAUCCAUGAAUUGAGAAGCCUUCCUUCAAAAAAAUAAACGUUCUUUCAGGCUCCAGCUUGCAGUCUUUGUUUCAAACCAAUGCAAAAACAGUUUCUUCAGUUCCUUUCCAUGCUCAAGGUUUUUUCCCCCCUCUUAUUGUGUAAUCCCGGGAACUUGAGGGAUGGCAGGUUUUGGCUUCUUUAUUUUUUCCGCCAGUAUGGCUUGAGUUGUUAGAAUUAAUCCAGCAAUUGAGGCAGCACUUUGAAGUGCACACCGCGAAACCCUGCAAGGAUCUACCACCCCUGCAUCCAAAAGAUCUUCAUAUUCACCAGUCAUUGCAUUGAAACCAUUUCUCCAAUCAGAAGUCCGAAUUCUUUCCACCACAACUGCUCCAUCAACCCCAGCAUUAGAUGCAAUUGCUUUUGCAGGUGCAAGAAGUGCCUUUGCCACAAUGUCCGCACCAACCUGCAUGUUUAUAUCUUCCAUGGAAUCUUGUAUGGCAGAAAUAUGCUCUGAGAGAUGUACAUAUGCAGCACCACCACCAGGUACAAUCCCUUCUGCCAUGGCAGCAUAUGUUGCAUUCUUUGCAUCCUCAAUCCUUAGUUUCCGAUCUUCAAAUUCUGCUUCUGUGUGUGCUCCUACCUUAAUUACAGCCACACCACCAGACAAUUUAGCAAUUCUUUCUAAGAGUUUCCUUGACAGGUAUGCAUUAUCUGUUUCCGAAAGAUCCUUCUUCAUCUGCAGAAUUCUUGCCUGAAUUUCAGCCUUAGUUGAAGGGUCAGCAACUAUGGUUGUUGAAUUACUUGUUAUGGUAACUUUCUGUGCUACACCAAGUUGAUCUGAGGUUGCAUCUAGGAGAGUCAGACCAAAAUCUCCAGAAAGAAAAUCAGCACCUGUCAUAAGAGCAAUGUCCUGCAAUAAAGCUUUUUUCGCUUCUCCAUAUCCUGGGCAUUUGACAACAGCAACAUUCAAUAAACCUUGCAUUUUGUUCACCACCAGCGUUUCCAAUACCUGCUUUGAGAUAUCCUCAGCAAAGAUUAACAGUGGCACACUUAGCUGCAUAGCCUUUUCUAACAAAGGGAUAAUUUCUUUGACAGUUGCAAUCCUUUGAUCAGUUACUAGUAUUCUGGCAUUGUCAAACUGUACAAGAGACUUUUCCUGGUUUGUUAUGAACUGGGAUGACAUGUAACCCUUGUCAAUCUUAAUUCCUUCUUCUAUGAUGACAUAGGUUUCAGAGGUCGAAGAUGACUCAAUAGAGAUUACUCCAUCAUAGCCAAUCUUGUCUAUAGUCUCAGCAAUUAAGUUCCCAACAUAUUCAUCAUUCCCAGCAGAAAUUGAAGCAACAGCUUUUAUAUUAUCCCUUCCUCUUAUCGGAACACUUUGCUCCUUCAAGAUUUCAACUAAGUUUUUUACAGUUGUAUCCAUUCCUUUCUUCAAAGAAACAGGGUUGGCCCCAAAAGUGACUGCUAACAAGCCAAUUUUGAUCAUUUCACGAGCCAAAAUGAUUGCAGUGGUUGUACCAUCACCAGCCAAAUCAUUCAUUUUACUUGCAACCAUGAAUGACCUCUUGGAUUAGCAUUGCUCCAGCAUUCUCCAUUGCAUCCGAAAGCUCUAUGGCUCGAGCUAUUGUAACACCAUCAUUGACUACUUUUAAUGUCUUAGAAUCAGAAAGAACAACAUUGCGACCUUUAGGUCCUAAGGUGAGAGAAACAGCAUCAGCAAGUUUAUCAAUUCCAGCCUGCAAGGCUCCUCUACAUUCUUUGCCAAAAGAUAUCUUCCUCGGGCCUGCCCUCACAACAAAUCUAUGAGGAUUUCUCCAUAAUCCACUGACCCUUGUUUUCCCAACAAGUUCAGAGAAGAGGGGAUUGUUGGGGAAGAUACAUGGCCUGGAGAUGAAGACGAAAGGCAUACUAUACUCUGUUUUCGAGCAAAGUAGCGGCGUUGAGAACUUUUCAAAGAUUUUUAGACGUUAAAUGGUUCAUCCAACACAGUUGCCAGUGCCACUAUGCGAGUCUCCCGUAGCCCAGCUGUUUUCACCUAAUCAGUUCAGCCCUAAAUCGGAGUACGUUUGGAGGAAGUUUUGGAAGGUAAAAG